rnacentral:siRNA from 1 species
CAUCGAUUUCCUCAUGCCGCCGAC